rnacentral:rRNA from 1 species
CCUACGGGUGGCAGCAGUGGGGAAUAUUGCACAAUGGGCGCAAGCCUGAUGCAGCCAUGCCGCGUGUGUGAAGAAGGCCUUCGGGUUGUAAAGCACUUUCAGCGGGGAGGAAGGCGAUAAGGUUAAUAACCUUGUCGAUUGACGUUACCCGCAGAAGAAGCACCGGCUAACUCCGUGCCAGCAGCCGCGGUAAUACGGAGGGUGCAAGCGUUAAUCGGAAUUACUGGGCGUAAAGCGCACGCAGGCGGUCUGUCAAGUCGGAUGUGAAAUCCCCGGGCUCAACCUGGGAACUGCAUUCGAAACUGGCAGGCUAGAGUCUUGUAGAGGGGGGUAGAAUUCCAGGUGUAGCGGUGAAAUGCGUAGAGAUCUGGAGGAAUACCGGUGGCGAAGGCGGCCCCCUGGACAAAGACUGACGCUCAGGUGCGAAAGCGUGGGGAGCAAACAGGAUUAGAU